UACGUAGGGGGCAAGCGUUGUCCGGAAUCAUUGGGCGUAAAGAGCGUGUAGGCGGCUCGAUAAGUCUGCUGUGAAAGUCCAGGGCUCAACCCUGGAAGGCCGGUGGAAACUGUCGGGCUAGAGUCCGGAAGAGGCGAGUGGAAUUCCCGGUGUAGCGGUGAAAUGCGCAGAUAUCGGGAGGAACACCAAUGGCGAAGGCAGCUCGCUGGGACGGUACUGACGCUGAGACGCGAAAGCCAGGGGAGCGAACGGG
rnacentral:rRNA from 1 species